GACGAACGCUGGCGGCGUGCUUAACACAUGCAAGUCGAACGGAAAGGCCCUGCUUUUGUGGGGUGCUCGAGUGGCGAACGGGUGAGUAACACGUGAGUAACCUGCCCUUGACUUUGGGAUAACUUCAGGAAACUGGGGCUAAUACCGGAUAGGAGCUCCUGCUGCAUGGUGGGGGUUGGAAAGUUUCGGCGGUUGGGGAUGGACUCGCGGCCUAUCAGCUUGUUGGUGGGGUAGUGGCUUACCAAGGCUUUGACGGGUAGCCGGCCUGAGAGGGUGACCGGCCACAUUGGGACUGAGAUGCGACCCAGACUCCUACGGGAGGCAGCAGUGGGGAAUAUUGCACAAUGGGCGGAAGCCUGAUGCAGCAACGCCGCGUGCGGGAUGACGGCCUUCGGGUUGUAAACCGCUUUCGCCUGUGACGAAGCGUGAGUGACGGUAAUGGGUAAAGAAGCACCGGCUAACUACGUG
rnacentral:rRNA from 1 species